rnacentral:rRNA from 1 species
GAUGAACGCUGGCGGCGUGCCUAACACAUGCAAGUCGAACGGAGUCCAGCCUUUAAGACCUUCGGGUCAAAGAGGGGAAGACUGAGUGGCGGACGGGUGAGUAACACGUGGGCAACCUGGCUCAUAGAGGGGGAUAACAGAGAGAAAUUUCUGCUAAUACCGCAUAAGCACACACUGCCGCAUGGCAGAGGGUGAAAAGAGAAUCGCUAUGAGAUGGACCCGCGUCUGAUUAGCCAGUUGGCAGGGUAAGAGCCGACCAAAGCGACGAUCAGUAGCCGAUCUGAGAGGAUGAACGGCCACAUUGGGACUGAGCCACGGCCCAAACUCCUACGGGAGGCAGCAGUGGGGGAUAUUGCACAAUGGGGGGAACCCUGAUGCAGCGACGCCGCGUGAGUGAAGAAGUAUUUCGGUAUGUAAAGCUCUAUCAGCAGGGAAGAUAAUGACAGUACCUGAAUAAGAAGCCCCGGCUAACUACGUG